GUUAUAGGUAGAACGAAAAACGUCUUAAUCAUUUUCCCAAAAAGUGAUAGGAUAGUUGGCAAAAUGGAUGGAAUCGUGUAAUAGUGAUAAUUAGACUGCGGAUGCUCAUGGAAAUUCGUAUUUUCACAGAUUACAAAGAAAGAAUUCAAAUUUAUAUUAAUGUACAUCUUAUAUUUUAAAUGGUAUAACAUGUAUAUUAUUGUUGAUAUUUUAUAUUGUUUAGCAUUUGUGCACAUUCUUAUAGAUUUACUCGUAUUACAAUUUCUCAUAUAUGCAUAAACAUUGGCAGUCUAUUGAAGACUGUGAAUAAAUUUGCAUAAACAUCCACAGUCUAGUUGACAGUCCUUAGUCCUGUCUGACUUCAAUAAAAUCCACACUCUGUAUCCUCUUUUUCUUUCUGGAGGAACGACUCUUUAGUUGCAUCGGAGUAUAUCGAGAUAUUUUCCAUUCAUUUGAGAAGGAUAAGUGAUUGUGGCGAAAUUGCAGCGCAGGGGGUUGUAUUAUACGAUUGGAAAAGGCGGACGGUUCUGCACGCAUCGGGUAGGGGAAUUUUCCGAACGUACACGGAGACGGAUUCGGUUUCGGGUGUGUUUUAAAGUCCAUGGGGCUCAAUGUUCCGCGAAAUACGUCGCUCCCUCUUACCAUCGGUCCUAUAAUACAGAUGCCGUAUAGAUGGCUACAAAUCCCCCGGAACUCUUCAUAUCUAUAACCUCUUUUCAUUCUCGACAACGAGGGCUCACACGCGACAGGGUAGUUUUAAACAAUUCACCCUUCAAACCCUCCCACGUGGUUAACUUUAUUGCUAUUUCCGGACCCGCGCCCGCGAGACACUUCGAUUUCACUUAUAUCGGUGAAAUUUUUACGGGGAGAAUGCCACGUAUCAAGUAAUUUCAUGAGGGAUUUUUUUAAAAGUGUUUUCUAAAAGUGUUUUCUAAAAGUGGCUUCAGUAUUUUGGAAUUAAGGGGCUGUUCUAGUCUAGUGCGUCAAUUUUUAGUUCUGUUUUCGAGGAUUUUCUUUUGUUUAUCAGGAAUUUUUAUAAAGGGUUUUUCGGAGGUAAAAAUAAUCAAAAUUAAACGUAGUACGAGCGAUCUUGUACAGUACCUUCUUAAAAUAGUAUAUUCGUGGUUGCCACGAUUUCAGGCGUUCUGCUUAUCCGAAAUGAAAAAAUCAAGAAACAUCUUCAUUAAUAUUAGCGUCUCUAUUAUCCGAACCAGAAUAAUUAUGAAAUAUCAGGAGUUAAAAAAAUGGCAGCACUUUUAAGUUUGAACAUCGACCUUUUGUAUUCAUUUUGUUCUUUGUAUAUUAAAAAAGAGAUAUUUAGAACAAUCAGAUUUUGGAAAUCGUGGUUCAGGUGAUAAAGGCACGCGUGCUGAAGAUUCACUACGAAUUUGAUGUUAUUCGGUCAACUAGAACUCGUGAUAUCGUGGCAAUCAUUUCAAAAAGUAUUAUUGUAUAGCAUUAAAAUUAGUGGCAUUGGCACUAAAACUCUAAAAACCUGAAACUCGUUGAUAAAGCUAAUGAAUCUGAAAGAUGCGUACAAACUCUUUUGAAUAUUUUUGUACGUCACAAUUAAGAUAGGAAGUCUUAUCUGUCUCUACGAGUGUUCAGCGCACGAGGAUGCGUAAAAGAAGGGAAGGACAUAGAGAGGGUGGUAUAUAGGGCGCACAUAGGGGUUUGCACGCUGGAAGGACUUUAUGGGGGCCCGAGUAUAUUUCCUGAUUGAGCGGACUAAUCCACGCAAAGGAGGUUUUAUCGUCGAGGUAUACGUACGUAAUCGAAGGGUUCUGCGUGGAUGUCGCACGCAGAAGAAGCUGAACAGAGUUAGUUUCGUCGAAACCUCGUUUAGUAACGAGUGUCUAGUUUAGUGGUUUUUAAACUUACUAUACUUGCUAUGCAGUUUAACAUUAAAACUGCCUAGGUUGAAAUAUAUCUGUUAUUCAUUCAACUAUAUCUUCGUAAUUAGAGGGAGGAGGAGCAAACUAAUUUAUCGAUAAUUAUAUAAUAAUUCUCUGUUAUAAUAAUCGUCCUAAAAAAUUCUGGUAGAAGAUUGAAUGACUUUAAGUUGAAGUACAUGAGUCAAAUUGGUCGAAUUGGUAGUUAACUCUUUUCUAGUUGUAAUAGUAUUUUUCUUUUUUUAGAAUUGUUUCCAUUUAUAUCGAUCGUCACGUUUUGAAUGGACACUAAAUAGUGUACUUUUUUUGAAAGAGUUUUUUUGAUAUAUGGGAUACUUACCUGUCCUAAUACAUCAAUGGACGCUAAUUCAUCGUGUAAUAAAAUAUGACAUCAUACAAUACAAUAGAAAUUUUUCUAGCAUACGUUGAAAGUGUUACAAACUAAAUUAACUAUUUGACGAAUCGGAAUAUUCUUAUAGAAACUUCGUCCACUUAAUCCCCAUUUUUUCAAGCCCCCUGUCAAGAUAUCUUAAAUUCAAGGGAUCAAUCGCCCGAUUGACGAACUUUCCCUGAUCGUAGAGGUUUCGUUACCAUCGAAAUGGACAAUUACGUGAAAAAGCUGGAGUCCUGUCGGAGCGUUUAUGCAAGGGACCCUUCCCGAGCCUUCCUCCACCCCCUUCGCCUGUAAAUACGGGGACGCACCGCUGUACUAUCGCGGGAACAAUAAAAAUAGACCUCCCGUAUAGGUUCGCCUGCUUACUAUCAGGCCGCAAGUUACGAUUAAGAGACCGCCCAGGCCAUGUCUCGAAUUCUCGGUUUCUGGGAAGACCUCGACGGGAUUCGAGGGGGCCAGGACUAGGACUUUCGAAGGACUAACCGUCAGGAUACGCCCGGGCCACGAUAGUUCGUUGUGGUGGCUUCUCGAAACUUUCCUUCGCGGGUUUAUGCUUAUCGUAAACAUCGUCGCAGACAAAUCGCCUGGUGCAAACCGUACCAAGAAGAGAAUCUCUGCUCGCUGGUUGGCGCAGGGAACGGCGAAACGAUCCCACGUAAUCGUAAAUACAGGAACGGAAUAUAACUUGAGGAGAAUGAACGAGCCCCCGUGAUCAGGCGACUGUUUUUUGGGAAGGGGGGCGCUUGGCGAGGAGAGGCGAAAAGUUUCAGGAACGAGGAUACUGCGAGGAGUUGAAGAGAUGAACGUUAAGAUUUAACUUACAGAAGGAGAAACAUGUCUGGGUCGCCAUGAAUUUCAGGAACGAGGACACUGCGAGGAGCUGAGGUGAAAGUUAACGUUUAACUUACAGGAAGAGAAACGUGUCUGGAUCGCCCCGAAAUGGGUUUUCAGGAACGAGGAUACUGCGAGGAGUUGAAGAGAUGAACGUUAAGAUUUAACUUACAGAAAGAGAAACAUGUCUGGAUCGCCAUGAAGUAGCUAUAGGUUUUUCUUUUUAAACCAUGCAGUAUCUUAAGCAAGCAAUGCUUAACACUUUAUCUACCGGACUAUUUAGAAAUACUCUUUAAUUUAAAAAAGAAUUUUCUACGGUAGCAUAUUCCGAUCUAGGCUGACAAUAAUUCCUUCGUGCUGUUACUGGGUACAUUGAAAACCAAGUCUGUUUUCAAACCCUGAACAUUGUAAGUAGGCAACCAUCGACACAAUACAUAAAUUCGAUUAGCUAAAUACUGCAAUUGAAAAGCCUAUAAAUAGGCUUCCGGUAAAUAAAGUGUUAAGGAAUGUGUAUGUUUAUGUAUUAUGUAGUCUUUCAACCUAUCCAAAGUGGACCUUUUAACAAAUCUCUACAAUGUCCAGUGUCCAUGAUGAUUUUAACGCCACUUUAAUCCCCGAUCAGAGGUGCUCCUGGCCAGGAUUACACCGCCCCUCCUGCCAAUAAAAGCAGCGAAAGGGUUACGGUGGAAGCGGGCGGUCAGCCUGGAGCACUGGUUAAUGUGUGGACACUUCGUGUUCGCGGCUGUAUCAGGGCAAAGAAUGAAUAUUCAACAGUAAACACCGGUAACGCUUGCAAAGGGUUCGCGUGAGGGUGGACGCGGAGAUAGAGAAGGGAAAGCAAGGUGGUUCUCCGGUUUUGACCAGCGCGGAGGGAGGCGAGGGUGGAUUUCUCGUGACUUGUGCAGAUAUAAACGUGGCUCCGGCUGAGAGGGACAUUGUUUACGAUAUUACAUCUGUAAUACCGGUCAAGUGACCAACGUCCACCAACGCUCCGUAAUCUCCUCUGCGCCAGGACUUUGUUCCUGACCAGAUACAGCACGUUGAGCGACUCCGUGAUCAUAAUAGCGGCGGUCUCGUAGGCGUGUCGAGGGCUGCAACGCGUUUUAACACGUUUUAACACGUUUCUCAAGUGUUCGCUGCAGUAUGCACGGCGCUUCUCGUUCCCGCGCCACCAGGUGUUGCAUCGCGAUUUCGGAAUUACCGGAACCGUUUUGUCGCACCUCGCGGUUUCUCGAGGGAACGUGGUGUUUUGGAUCGUGGCUGUUUUAUGUUCGAAGAUACGAGAGAUAGUUGUAGGUAGAAGUAAUGUAUUCAAAUUCGCGUAGACUCGUUCAACACCGUUGGCUGUCGCGACAAAACUCGUGAAAGUUUCUAGAAAGUUAAAAUUUUGUCUUGAGACUAUUGACGAUUGGAUAAUUUCAUAUUUGUAUGUGGUAUUUAAUUUGUUAACUUCGAAUUAGAUUUAGGAAUCCUAUACAGAUUUAUUUUUAUUGUUAUUGUCUCAGCUUUGGAGUUAAUGUGUUUAGUUGCUUGAUGGAAGGUUCUAUCGUUCAGAAAUGGGCGACGUAGCGACUUAAUAAUUCAGCAAAGCGUGAAAAAAAAAUUGAAGUUACAUACUUUAUCAGUCAUUAAUCACAGUUCAGCUCGUUUUGAAGUAAAUGAAAUAAUUGAUACGCCAAUGAGUAUUGUUGACUUGUUUUAAUAAUUUAUGUAAGUCAUAAAAUCGUUUGUUUCAGUGGUCGACAGAUCUAGUAUACCCUAAAGGAACAAUCAAAGUUAUACAAUUCUAUAAAAUGCAUACUCUUAAUUUAAAACUCAUUCUUUCC